AGGGCGCAGCUAAAAAAAAAAAAACCCGAAAAACAAAUCGAUCUAGUGGCUUCUCCCCUGCCGCUGCGCCUGGGCUAUUUUCUUGUUGACUGGGCCUCGGCCCGCCCCCGCCCCCUGUGGGAGCCCCCCUGGGCGCCCGAGGUCCAGGCUUUUGGUUUGGGCAGGUGGCAGAUGAGGUGGUUUUUACUGAGAGAGGGGAUGUUGGAGGAAGAGGCUUGUUCGAGAUUCUGUUCUCUGGUUCAGUGUGAGACGCCUGGAUGCGACCUGCUCCUGCCUGGAAAAUCUCAAGCCCCCAGGUUUUCAGUGCGCGCCUGAGGUGGCAGUUUAUAUAAAGGAAGCACUGGGACCUGUGGCCACACCCUUCAAGAAUAAAAAA
rnacentral:lncRNA from 1 species